GAAUUCGUGGUGUAGUGGUCAGCACACUCGGCGCGUAUUCGAGAGGUCCGUGGUUCGAAUCCCGGCGAGGGCA
rnacentral:tRNA from 1 species